AUUGAACGCUGGCGGCAGGCUUAACACAUGCAAGUCGAACGGUAACAUAAAGAAGCUUGCUUCUUUGAUGACGAGUGGCGGACGGGUGAGUAAUGCUUGGGAAUCUAGCUUAUGGAGGGGGAUAACUACGGGAAACUGUAGCUAAUACCGCGUAGAAUCGAGAGAUGAAAGUGUGGGACCUUCGGGCCACAUGCCAUAGGAUGAGCCCAAGUGGGAUUAGGUAGUUGGUGAGGUAAAGGCUCACCAAGCCGACGAUCUCUAGCUGGUCUGAGAGGAUGACCAGCCACACUGGGACUGAGACACGGCCCAGACUCCUACGGGAGGCAGCAGUGGGGAAUAUUGCGCAAUGGGGGCAACCCUGACGCAGCCAUGCCGCGUGAAUGAAGAAGGCCUUCGGGUUGUAAAGUUCUUUCGGUAGCGAGGAAGGCAUUUAGUUUAAUAGACUAGGUGAUUGACGUUAACUACAGAAGAAGCACCGGCUAACUCCGUGCCAGCAGCCGCGGUAAUACGGAGGGUGCGAGCGUUAAUCGGAAUAACUGGGCGUAAAGGGCACGCAGGCGGUGACUUAAGUGAGGUGUGAAAGCCCCGGGCUUAACCUGGGAAUUGCAUUUCAUACUGGGUCGCUAGAGUACUUUAGGGAGGGGUAGAAUUCCACGUGUAGCGGUGAAAUGCGUAGAGAUGUGGAGGAAUACCGAAGGCGAAGGCAGCCCCUUGGGAAUGUACUGACGCUCAUGCGCGAAAGCGUGGGGAGCAAACAGG
rnacentral:rRNA from 1 species